GAAUUAGGACAAUCUUACAUUUAAUCUGAGGAUUCUUGACUGUGACUCGUUCACUUUGAUCUGGAUUGUGGAAGAGGCAGGAGUUGUCCGAUUUAGUUUCGCGUCGUGAGGUGAUCUUACAGUUAUAGCAAAGACAGUCGUUAACUAGUUCCUAGUUUAGCUAAAAACUGUGCUGGUUGAGGAAAGUGUGCGAGUGUGGAGCGACAAUCAGAAUCGUGGCCGGUGUGCUGAAAGCCCGUCACCUCACCCGUUUACCAGUGACCACUCCUGACCCCACUCUGCAGCUUCGAAGUUUCCCGGCGGUCCACUUUGCCGGAAGGGGCCGCGACCGUCAAUCUCGCGCCCAGGCAGGGCGAAGGCAGCAAGUAAGUCAGCAACAGCAAACGUUUUCCCGCUGUCGGUGACGACCGAGAGCGCAGCAGCAGCAGCAAAGCAAAGUCCACAUCUCGUUGGCGAGGCGCCGUCGGCUGCAUGAAGACUAUCGUAGCGUAGAAGGAGGAACCGCAACAGAGCGCGCACCGCGACCGCGGUGUAAGAGACGGCACCGUUUAGAUGAGCCGUGGGUAAGCGUCACCCUCUCCGUCAAGCAAGCGCAUGGCAAGCGUCGCCAUCUCCGUCUAGCAAGCACAUGGCAAGCGUCGCCAUCUCCGUCCGUAGAGGUAGAGCACGUACGUAGGCGUCGUCCGCAAAUCAGGCCGCCUGCGGUGCCGCAUCAUCUCGUCGCCCGGCGAACAGCAUCGUCCGGCAAGCCAACGAUAGCAACGUCCCCGUCGUGGAGCUACAACGGCGACAAUAAUACGAAUGGUCCGUAAGUAAACGCAUGCGAAAGUAAAUUUCCCAAGCUUGGUGAAGAAUCGUUUGGUUUUGCCUGCUCCCAAUUUUGGUUGGUGAUGCGUGGCGGUGAGAGGCUAU